AUGACUCGACUAUGAAGAUGUCUCAGCAUUCUUCACAGCAUCCUUAUAUGUCGGGUGAAAAGAUGCCACUGGAUAAGUAGCCUCCACUAGUAAAUCAGUCACAGUAAAAGUGACAUCCAGGAAACGCAAAUGGAGUGAGGAAGAAAUCCAGGCAGUGGGAAAGACCCUUCUGGGAUGCAUCACAUCUGGAAAGGUUCCAAGAAGAAAAACUGUGCAUGGAAUGCAUCAAGGCAUCACCAUCACCAAGUCCUUUGUCCAAGUGCUCCUGGUCGGAUUGAUGCAUCACCAGGUGAUGCACCACCUGGUGUUGAUCACUUGGUGAUGGUGACGCAUCACUAGGUGAUGCCUUGAUGCAUCACCAGGAGCACUUGGAGAAAGGAUUUGGGAAGGAAUUAAAUUUUAUGUUAAAAAUCGAAUUGACUUUCUUAAGAGGAAACAAAAAUGAGUCAGACAAGGUAGGAAGAGUCUUGACUAUCUUGUAUUCCUGAAACAGUUCUUGAGUUCAAAAACAAGAACAGGAAUAAAUUGUUAGUUGAUGUUGUUUUUGAGUAUAUGCUGUUGAAUAAUGUGCAGUGCUAUAGCAUUGUUUAAAAUAAUUGCAUAAUCAGCUUUCCACAAGAAAUAAAAGUGUUUACAGUUUGGUACACAAA